UGGGGAAUAUUGCACAAUGGAGGGAACUCUGAUGCAGCGACGCCGCGUGAGUGAUGAAGGACUUCGUUUCGUAAAACUCUGUUCUAUGGGAAGAAAAGGACUGUACCAUAGGAGAAAGCUCCGGCUAAAUACGUGCCAGCAGCCGCGGUAAUACGUAUGGAGCGAGCGUUGUCCGGAAUUAUUGGGCGUAAAGGGUGCGCAGGCGGCUUUACAAGUUGGAUGUGAAAUAUUGUGGCUCAACCACAAACGUGCAUCCAAAACUGCAAAGCUUGAGUUAAGGAGAGGUAAGUGGAAAUCCUGGUGUAGCGGUGGAAUGCGUAGAUAUCAGGGGGAAUACCGGUGGCGAAGGCGACUUACUGGACUUAAACUGACGCUCAGGCACGGAAGCGUGGGGAGCAAACAGG
rnacentral:rRNA from 1 species